UUAAAUUGUGAAGUAGAAGAUGUUUGAUAUUUAUAAGCCAGUUGAUAUUAUCAUGCAGAGUCUGACUGCUGUGUUUAAACAGAUAAAGCCUUCUUUAUGCAGAUCCAUCUUUUUUUCUCAUCACAGCUCACUGAUUUCCAUCCAACGUUCUGGACAGACAUUACACACUGACCGUCAGUAGUAGGAGGAGGAGGAGGAGGCUGUGGUGUCCAGUAGCUGAGGGAAGAACAUGAUGUUUAGAUCAAGGCUGAUAGAUUUUAGGAUUCAGAGUGUUUAGGAAUGUGUCUCU